UACAGAGGAGCCAAGCGUUGUCCGGAUUGACUGGGCGUAAAGCGCACGCAGGCGGCACCGCGCGUGGGGUGUGAAAUCUGGCCGCUUAACGGCCAGGCGCCAUCCCAUACGGCGGAGCUGGAGUGAUGCAGAGGUCGAUGGAAUUGCCGGUGUAGUGGUGAAAUGCGUAGAGAUCGGCAGGAACACCCAGGGGGAAACCAGUCGACCGGGCAUCUACUGACGCUGAGGUGCGAGAGCGUGGGGAGCGAACCGG
rnacentral:rRNA from 1 species